UACGAAGGGGGCUAGCGUUGUUCGGAAUUACUGGGCGUAAAGCGGGUGUAGGCGGAUCUUUAAGUCGGAGGUGAAAGCCCAGGGCUCAACCCUGGAAUUGCCUUCGAUACUGGGGAUCUGGAGUGUGGGAGAGGUGAGUGGAAUUCCGGGUGGAGAGGUGAAAUUCGUAGAUAUUCGGAGGAACACCAGAGGCGAAGGCGGCUCGCUGGACCACUACUGACGCUGAGACCCGAAAGCGUGGGGAGCAAACAGG
rnacentral:rRNA from 1 species